UACCAAAAGCUGAAACACAUGGUAAUGGACAAGAUGCACGCUCGCGCGCGCGGUCCUCGAGCACAGAAUACUGCAGUGUCAAUCGCGCUAGCACUUCUUAGAAAAAGGAGAAGAGUGACUAGCCGACACCGUUUAUAAUGAAUUGCAC
rnacentral:ribozyme from 1 species